UGCUGGUGUCAUGUUCCCUGCAUUUAAACCGAAGAGAACCUCCUAGAGACUUCAGGCUUUUACAGAUUUAUUGACCAGAUGUCCUGGAAGUGCCCCCUGAUGCAGACCCAGUUGUUGGGUAGCCACCCACGCACGUUGACACAGCCCCCAGCAGUGGGCACCCAUGGGGAUGGACCCAGGAGUGGAGGAUGACCCAAUAGGUGGUGGGUAGCCACCCAUGCACGUUGACACAGCCAGCAGCGAGUACCCAGGGCGAUGGACCCAGAAGUGGAGGAUGAUCCAAUAGGUGUGAGGAAAAGACGCAUACUAGAGGGAGUCGAGGACUUGGCUGGCCUACAAAAUGUCACUAAGGGAUGCAACUGACGGCUGAAGUAGGAUCUUUUUUGUUUUUUGGCCAUGACAAUGC